CCUUCAAUAGCCAGCUUACAAUUCAUUUGUCUCCCAUCAAUGUUCUUUACAGGCUCCGCUAACGCUGCCUGAGCCCCUUCUGCUGUCUUAUAAACGAAAAGUGCAAAACCCCUUGAUUUCCCCGUCUGCUUAUCGAACCCCAAGGGCCCCUCUUCUAUUUCCCCAUACUGAGCAAAAUGGCCCAAUAACUUAUCCGCCGGCAUAUCAUACGGUACAUUGGCUACAUAAAUCUUCCUCAUAUGAAUAUCCACCGGGUUACUAUUCGUCGCCGAAUUCCCCGCCGCCGCCAGCUGUGUCACGGUGACUCUCCCGUCGAUUUUCUUACUGGGUUCUUUAAGAGCAAGCAAAGCACCAUCUACGUGCUUAAACGUAACGAAUCCAUACCCUUUCGAUUUCCCGGUAGUCUUGUCGAGGAUAACAACCGCUUCUUCGAGUUCUCCAUAGACCGAAAAGAGUGAACGAAGGCCAUCAGUUGUG
rnacentral:lncRNA from 1 species